rnacentral:rRNA from 1 species
CUUCCUACGGGAGGCAGCAGUGAGGAAUAUUGGUCAAUGGGCGCGAGCCUGAACCAGCCAAGUAGCGUGAAGGAUGACUGCCCUACGGGUUGUAAACUUCUUUUAUAAAGGAAUAAAGUGAGGCACGUGUGCCUUUUUGUAUGUACUUUAUGAAUAAGGAUCGGCUAACUCCGUGCCAGCAGCCGCGGUAAUACGGAGGAUCCGAGCGUUAUGCGGAUUUAUUGGGUUUAAAGGGAGCGUAGCUGGGGUGUUAAGUCAGUUGUGAAAGUUUGGGGCUCAGCCGUAACAUUGCAAUUGAUACUGGA